rnacentral:rRNA from 1 species
UACGAAGGGGGCUAGCGUUGCUCGGAAUUACUGGGCGUAAAGGGCGCGUAGGCGGACGAUUAAGUCGGGGGUGAAAGCCCAGGGCUCAACCCUGGAAAUGCCUUCGAUACUGGUCGUCUUGAGUACGGGAGAGGUGUGUGGAACUCCGAGUGUAGAGGUGAAAUUCGUAGAUAUUCGGAAGAACACCAGUGGCGAAGGCGACACACUGGCCCGUUACUGACGCUGAGGCGCGAAAGCGUGGGGAGCAAACAGG